AUGGAGCAUGUGAUCGGGGGGAAGUUUAAGCUGGGUAGGAAGAUUGGGAGCGGAUCUUUCGGGGAGCUGUAUCUUGGCGUGAACAUACAGAGCAGCGAGGAGGUGGCUAUCAAGUUGGAAUCUGUCAAAUCAAGGCAUCCCCAGCUUCAUUAUGAGUCAAAACUAUAUAUGCUUCUGCAAGGGGGGAUGGGGAUUCCUCAUCUGAAAUGGUUUGGAGUGGAUGGGGAGUACAAUGUCAUGGUCAUUGAUCUUCUUGGUCCAAGUCUGGAGGACUUGUUCAACUAUUGCAACAGAAAAUUUACCCUUAAAACAGUACUUCUGCUUGCUGAUCAGAUGAUCGCUAGGGUAGAGUACAUGCACUCGAGGGGCUUUCUUCAUCGUGAUAUAAAGCCAGACAACUUUCUUAUGGGAUUAGGCCGUAAAGCAAGCCAGGUUUAUGUUAUUGACUAUGGCCUUGCAAAGAAGUACCGGGACCUCCAAACUCACAAGCACAUACCAUACAGGGAGAACAAAAAUCUUACAGGAACAGCACGUUAUGCUAGUGUAAAUACCCAUCUUGGAGUAGAACAAAGCAGGAGAGAUGAUUUAGAAUCUCUCGGUUAUGUGCUGAUGUACUUCAUAAGAGGAAGCCUUCCUUGGCAAGGUCUGAAAGCUGGCACGAAAAAACAGAAGUAUGAUAAAAUUAGUGAAAAGAAAAUGUUAACUCCAGUUGAGGUCCUUUGUAAAUCUUAUCCAUCGGAGUUCGUUUCAUACUUCCAUUACUGCCGAUCCUUGCGAUUUGAAGAUAAACCAGAUUACUCCUAUCUGAAGAAACUCUUCCGAGAUUUAUUUAUCCGUGAAGGGUACCAGUCUGAUCAUAUAUUUGACUGGACUGUGUCUAGGCAAGUAGCAGAGAAUAACAGAUUGCGACCAAGUGGAAGGACAGCUGGGUUGGUGGGGCCAUCUGCAGAACGGGCUGAACGGAUUGCAGCAAGACAGGAUGUUCCUGAUAGACUCUCUGGUUCAGUGGACACGUUUGCCAGAAGAACUGGCUCCGGUUCUGGCCAUCAUGGAGAAAACACGAAGCACAGAACUCUGUUGGAUACACUGUUGGCACCUAAGAUGGCUGCUGAUUCGGAUAAAAGAAGGCCUACAUCAUCCCGGAAUGGGAGCACAUCGAGGAAGGCUCUCCUGUCAAGCAGCAGACCAAGUUCUGGAGAGCCCAGUGACCCCACUCGCACUAGCCACCUAAUCCCAACCAGCAGUGGCAGCAGUCGUCCAUCAACCACUCAGAGGCUUCACCAAUCAACUGGACUCGAGGCCAGGUCGUCAUCGCUGUCGAAAACUGCGAGAAAUGUCCAUGAUGAUCCCACUAUAAGGACAUUUGAGCGCCUUACAAUUAGUGCAGACAGGAGGAAAUAA
rnacentral:rRNA from 1 species